UACGGAAGGCAGCAGUGGGGAAUAUUGCACAAUGGGCGAAAGCCUGAUGCAGCUAUGCCGCGUGUAUGAAGAAGGCCUUAGGGUUGUAAAGUACUUUCAUCGGGGAGGAAAAACAAAACUAAUAAUUUUAUUUCUUGACGUUACCCGAAAAAGAAGCACCGGCUAACUCCGUGCCAGCAGCCGCGGUAAUACGGAGGGUGCUAGCGUUAAUCAGAAUUACUGGGCGUAAAGAGCACGUAGGUGGUUUUUUAAGUCAGAUGUGAAAUCCCUGGGCUUAACCUAGGAACUGCAUUUUGAAACUGAAAUACUAGAGUAUCGUAGAGGGAGGUAGAAUUCUAGGUGUAGCGGUGAAAUGCGUAGAUAUCUGGAGGAAUACCUGUGGCGAAAGCGGCCUCCUAAACGAAUACUGACACUGAGGUGCGAAAGCGUGGGGAGCAAACAGGGAU
rnacentral:rRNA from 1 species